CAUUAUGGGGAUUCUACGUGGUGAGAAAUUUAGUGACGUUAGAUAGAGAUUAAAAGUGGAGAGUGAUAGUUGAGCAUUUUUUUUUAUAUUAUUCAAUUCAAAUUAGUUUUUUUAAAUUACAGGAGAGCGAGGAGGUAUAUUAAAUAUUUUUCUUGGUUUUAGAACUUUAUUUUUGUAUGCAGUUAGCAAGCCAAAUUUAAAUAAAUGACACGAAUUCCAGUAGCUAGCUAGCGUUACCAGCGCGAGUGUGCAGUUAUCUCCUCCAGAAUGGUAGAAUGGCCAACGCUGCCGAAAAUGUUGUGGAUUUUUUUUGGUUGAAAAAACAUUUUCAUUCUCUGGGGUACACGGAAAAGGUGCGAAUUAAAAGCGAGGGUCGACCUCUGCUUGAGAUCGGUUUCAUGAAGAAGAAAGCAAGAUGGAUUGUAUUGAUGAGAGAAUCAAAAGAGAUGCCGCCCUUAUGUGUUGAAUCCAAUGAGGGUUAACACCCCUGAUUCUGUGAUGUGGCUAACCGGCAAGGUGCACAGAAGGUCAAAGCCUCCAAUCAUUGUGAGCUGUGGGCAGGACCAAACAUCUGGGGAUGGAGCAUCAAUCCAGAGCCUCUCAGCCAGGUCACCUCUGCUAUUCCCAUAGAGACACAACAGAUAGAUCAAUCUGAUUCAUAUGGCCAUUUUGGUUGGCUUGGUUGAAUUGACAAUCAUCCAUUCAAGAUGCUAAAGAAUCAUAUACUAUGGAAGGUCCUUGAUAGUAAAUGCCAGUGUAUUCUAUGGCUGCCAUGAGUACAUGCCUUUCUCUGUCUCCUCAGUCUGGAAGGGUGACUCGGCUGAUAGAGAGAAAAUAUGAUGACGUGAUCUCAUCCUCCAGUUCUGAUGACUUUUCCAUCUACUCCUUCACUGACUGUGAAUCUGAGUGUGAUGAUGAGGAUCAUGAAAGGAGGACACCACCGCUGAAAAUUGAGAAUGGAAAUGUGACAAAGCUUGAUGUGAGGGAUAUGGACGAGGAUGAUCUGUCUCUCCACUUCUUCGAUGAGUCAGACUUCCUGAGCCCAGGGAAGGUCUCAGGUCCUGUAUCUGUCAAGAAUGGCCUCUCUCCCCUUGUGACCUCAGCACACCGGACCCUGGCGAAGCCCUACGGGCCCUGCCCUCUGCUGUAGGCUCUCCCUACCCAGUAAAUGUUCCAAGGCCUCGGACUCCUCUCAACCCUGUCAUUAUCGCUCCGCCCCGAACAGAGAACUUCCAAUACCGCCACAGCCCUCGCCUGGCUCCCAUCACCAACCUGAGUGAGAGGCUGCUCCAGGAAAUGGCUGGAGUGGCCCCACAGGUUUCUUUAGUGGCUGCUGUCCAAACUGAGAUGUUCAAAGAAAUAAUGGACAACUAUUACUUCUACCACACACACACACAGAUGUGAGUAUUGGUUAUUCCUACAACACACACAAACGUAAUUUCAGGACAGGAACUAUGAUUAGCAAAAUACAUAUAUUGGUCUCAUUCUUAUAUUUUGAGACAUGCAGCAUUAUUUAAAUAAAAAAAUAUAUUGAUCCCCAUACAGCCUAUGAUAAUGAAUUGGAUUUACAUGCUUAGGCUUGGAAAUAUAGCCAGGAAAAGUAAAGGACAGCACCAACCUUAGGGCAUUGUCACUGGUAUUGGGGUCUUAGGUCUCCUUUGGCCAAAGUGAAGAGUUGAGGGCCCCUUACUGGUCUCCUUGCAAUAUCUGGUCUCCCACACAGAGAUGGAAAUCUACACCUGUUUAGGCCUUGGAGGAUAUGGCUUCAGAUGAAAGACAGCAGAGAGAUGCAGAACGUAAAAGCUUCAAACACAUUGAUAUGCAAAUGCAGGACCAUUAUAAACUGAAGUGGAGCAUGCAUCUGGUCUGAAGCAUGUCAAAAGAGUAUAAAUGAACUGGGACUGGAGGAAUACAUCACAUUUAAACUAAAUUAGCAUGUAUCUGAUUUAGCUACACUCAUCUGUACUUGAAUGGUGCUGUUUGAAAAGUGCAUUUCCAAUAAAGCUUUUUAAAUUGCA